rnacentral:rRNA from 1 species
GCCCAGGGGACGUGGAUAACCUCGGGAAACUGAGGAUAAACCGCGAUAGGCCAAGAUUUCUGGAAUGGAUCAUGGCUUAAAUCUAUAUGGCCCCUGGAUUGGACUGCGGCCGAUCAGGCUGUUGGCGAGGUAAUGGCCCACCAAACCUGUAACCGGUACGGGCUCUGAGAGGAGGAGCCCGGAGAUGGGCACUUAGACAAGGGCCCAGGCCCUAUGGGGCGCAGCAGGCGCGAAACCUCUGCAAUAAGCGAAAGCUUGACAGGGUUACUCUGAGUGAUUUCCGCUAAGGAAGUCUUUUGGCACCUGUAAAAAUGGUGCAGAAUAAGGGGUGGGCAAGUCUGGUGUCAGCCGCCGCGGUAAUACCAGCACCCCGAGUGGUCGGGACGAUUAUUGGGCCUAAAGCAUCCGUAGCCGGUCCUGCAAGUCCUCCGUUAAAUCCACCCGCUCAACGGUUGGGCCGCGGGGGAUACUACAGGGCUAGGAGGCGGGAGAGGCAAGCGGUACUCGAUGGGUAGGGGUAAAAUCCACUGAUCCAUUGAAGACCACCAGUGGCGAAGGCGGCUUGCCAGAACGCGCUCGACGGUGAGGGAUGAAAGCUGGGGGAGCAA